rnacentral:rRNA from 1 species
AGAGUUUGAUCCUGGCUCAGGAUGAACGCUAGCUACAGGCUUAACACAUGCAAGUCGAGGGGAAACGACAUCGAAAGCUUGCUUUUGAUGGGCGUCGACCGGCGCACGGGUGAGUAACGCGUAUCCAACCUGCCCACCACUUGGGGAUAACCUUGCGAAAGUAAGACUAAUACCCAAUGACGUCUCUAGAAGACAUCUGAAAGAGAUUAAAGAUUUAUCGGUGAUGGAUGGGGAUGCGUCUGAUUAGCUUGUUGGCGGGGUAACGGCCACCAAGGCGACGAUCAGGUAGGGGUUCUGAGAGGAAGGUCCCCCGACAUUGGAACUGAGACACGGUCAAACUCGUACCCGGAGGCA